UCCAAAGUGCGCAGCCGCGAAGUGGCAAAGGGCUUCCUCACCAUCCUAUACCCCCCAACCCACCAGCAGGGGUUAGCCGCUCCAGGGAGAGACCUCCUAUGCGCCAACCCUAACUUCAAGGACAAGGUCCAGAGAGGAAUCAUGGGGUGUCCCAGCUUCCAUACACCGCGAGCCUAGGGAGCAAAGGCAUCUGGGGCCCCUGAAAGCCUGGCACCUGAAAAGGGAUACCCCAGUCUCCAGCUUGUCCUCCUCCCCAACCGGAGCCCGAGGGAGGCGCUGGCAGCAGGAAGCCGGGGAAGGGCCCGGAGGAGCGCAGGCCCCACAGCCGAGCGAAAAACAUCAGAUCCGAGAGCGAAGGAGAGUGCAACACUGGACCCAAACUGCUCAACAGUGUCCUCAUAGGGACAUGAAGGUGGGGAAGGAUUGCUGACCUGCUAAGGAGCACCCUGAUAUGGGGAUCUGGGAGCACAAGAGGCCCAGGAAGAAUGUGCCCCCUGCACCUUACUUACAUACCCUGCCUGGACUCAGAGAGACCAGAAUCCAGACAACAGUUGCUGCUGGGCACGGCCACUCGUCCUGGCUUGUGGCAGAGGGCUCAGGCACAAGGUGGGCGGUUAGAGCUCUGGCACCAGAGCCCUUCUCGACAUCCCCACUGCUUCCAACCAGUCCAAGCCCCAUCUCUGACUUAGAAGAUGGUUGUUAUUCCUCACUGGCUUACCAGCUGUCACCUCAUCCCCCUUCAGCCAGUUCCCCAUCAGCGAUCCAUGUGAGACUUGGACCAGGACACUCCCCUGCUUAAGGAUCUCAAGGUUCCCAUUCCUCUUUAAUAAAACCCCAACUCCUUA